CGCCUAGGUUAAGCUUGAUUUAAAUUUGCAUACAUUUUCAUAUAUUUAGCAGAAAUAAAAGAAGGCUUGCUGCUACCAGAAAGUCAUUAAGGCAUUAGUUUCUCUAAGAAGACAGAUCUGAAGAAUGUGCAAGAAAAUGAGAAAAAAAUAAAAACAAGGUCUCUAUUGGCUUUCCUGAACGUAAGAAAAAGAAUCUUCAGAGAAAAAGGAAAGAGGAAGAGGGGAGGGGGCUCAGAAAACAAUAACAGCAGCCUAUCUACAUUGUGCUUUACAGUCUACAGUGUGCAUUCAUAUUUAACACUUUGGACUGAACAUUUGACACUUUGGAGUGAAUAGAUAUAAUUAUCCUCAGUUUACAGGUGGGAAAAUGAAGGCACAGAAAAGGUAAGAGAUGUGCUCAAGGUUUUACAACUCAGAUUCAAACCAAUCCUUUUGACUAAAGGCUUCAAAAAAUGUAUUUUGACUAAUCAGAGAACUUAUCUUUACAUUUGUAUUGCUAAUUAUAACCCACAUACCAUAUAUAAAAAACUGAAAGUACAACUUGGAAAUGAUUGUAAAGCAACCCCCAUGUAAUUCCUUAGGGAAAGAAAUAAAACACUCUCAACACCUGUGUACAUUUUCUUAAAUGUAGCCCUCUCCUCCACUAAGAGUAACCCUCUUCUGACUUCCAUGGUUCGCUUUGUAGUUUUUCCACCCGUGUUCUGAAAUAACAGUUCAGUUUUGCCUAUUUUUGAAUGUUAUUCAAAUGAAAUCAUACAGUAUGUGCUAUUUUAUAACUGGCUGAUUUUGAUCAAUAUAAUAUGAGUGUGUGUCAC
rnacentral:lncRNA from 1 species